rnacentral:rRNA from 1 species
UAUGUGAUCGUCUCUCGCAUAUCAAUAAGCGGAGGAAAAGAAACUAACAAGGAUUCCCCUAGUAACGGCGAGUGAAGCGGGAAGAGCUCAAAUUUGAAAUCUUAAAGGGUUUCCCUUUACGAAUUGUAGUUUAAAGAAGUGUUUUCUGUUGAGGUUUUGGUAAAAGUUCUUUGGAAUAGGACAUCAUAGAGGGUGAGAAUCCCGUAUUUGACCUUUACUUUCAACUUUGUGAUACACUUUCAAAGAGUCGGAUUGUUUGGGAAUGCAGUCCAAAAUGGGUGGUAAAUUUCAUCUAAAGCUAAAUAUUGGCGAGAGACCGAUAGCGAACAAGUACCGUGAGGGAAAGAUGAAAAGAACUUUGAAAAGAGAGUUAAACAGUACGUGAAAUUGUCAAAAGGGAAGCGUUUGACACCAGUGUUGUUUUUCUGAAAAUCAAUUAAAGAACUGUUUAUGCUAAGCUGUUUAGACUUUAUCAGCUAUCUGCUUAGUUUUGAGCUUUUCUUUAAUGCACUUUUCAGUUAACAAGUCAACAUCAAUUUCUUUUGCUGUAAAAAAGCUUGAGGAAGGUGGCUUGAGAUUCGUCUUAAGUGUUUAUAGCCUCUUGCCUAUGCAGUCGGAGAGAUUGAGGUCUGCAGCGUAGAUCCUUCGGGGCUAAAUGCAUUUGUGCUAAGUUAUAGCAUUUUAUAGACAACUUGUUGACUAUGAUUUGUCUUGUAGCUUACUCGCUUAUGUUAUUUUACCUACGCUUAGGAUGUUGAGUAGCGACAUACGCAC